AUUGAACGCUGGCGGCAGGCCUAACACAUGCAAGUCGAACGAGUGGCGGACGGGUGAGUAAUGUCUGGGAAACUGCCUGAUGGAGGGGGAUCACUACUGGAAACGGUAGCUAAUACCGCAUACCAUCGGAUGUGCCCAGAAGGGAUUAGCUAGCAGGUGGGGUAAUGGCUCACAUAGGCGACGAUCCCGAGCGGGUCUGAGAGGAUGACCAGCCACAUUGGAACUGUGACACGGUCCAAACUCCUACGGGAGGCAGCAGUGGGGAAUAUUGCACAAUGGGCGCAAGGCUGAUGCAGCCAUGCCGCGUGUGUGAAGAAGGCCUUCGGGUUGUAAAGCACUUUCGGCGGGGAGGCGUUACUCGCAGAAGAAGCACCGGCUAACUCCGUGCCAGCCGCCGCGGUAAUUC
rnacentral:rRNA from 1 species